rnacentral:sRNA from 1 species
GCUAGAGCCGUGUUUGUCGCGGCGCUGCCUAGAGGAACAGAUGGCUGGGGAGGGGAGAGGGUGCCUUGCCGGGAGGAGGGGUGCGGGGGCCGGAGGAUGAGGAACGAGGAAUUUCGACGCCUGAGUCUCCCGGGAGAAGUCCCCCUCCUCAUCUCUUCCCAGAAAGAGGGGCGGGCAAGCGCCUGUCGUUUUCCGGAGGAGUCCCGGCCUCUGCCCGCCCUUUGAGCAGUCCACCGCCCAGGGGUGCGUCCCGGGCUCGCAGGCUCCUUCGCCCCUCCUCCCUGCACACUGUGGCUGUCUCUGAUGUGAUGAUCUCUGGCGUAGAGAAGGUGCAAGGAGGAAAAAAGAAAGAGGUAUGGGGAGGGGAGGAAUCCGAGAUAAAAGGAUGAGUCUGCACCGGGCUCUUCUCUAAGAUGGGCGGUCCCCUUUCUCGACCCCGCCUUUCUCGACCCGCCUCAGGGUUUUCCCCUCUCUGGGCCCCAUCUCUUCUCCCCAUUUCUUAGUUCUUUGCUGUUUACUUUUUUGCUCAACUUCUCCCUCUCUUCUCACCUGUAGUUCCUGGGAGAAAUUUGAGGCUCAGGCUAUUUGGAGGUGACUAGGGACACCAAAAGCAGCUAGAGUCCCACCUUCAAACCAAAAAGGCAAAGCCACUUCUAGGGGUGGCAAAAAAAAAAAAAAAAAA